AGCGGCGGACGGGUGAGUAACACGUGGGCAACCUACCCAGAGCGGGGGAUAACAUUUGGGAACAGGUGCUAAUACCGUCAUAACUCCGAAACCACAUAGUUUUCGGAUAAAGAUGGUUCGGCUAUCACUUUGGGAUGGGCCCGCGGUGCAUUAGCUAGUUGGUAAGGUAACGGCUUACCAAGGCGAUGAUGCAUAGCCGAGUUGAGAGGACUGAUCGGCCACAAUGGAACUGAGACACGGUCCAUACUCC
rnacentral:rRNA from 1 species